rnacentral:rRNA from 1 species
AGUCGAAACGCACAGCGUAAAGGUGCUUGCACCUUUCAAGUGAGCUGGCGAACGGGCUGAGUAACACGUGGGAUAACCUACCUCAAGGCUUGGGGAUAACAUUUGGAAACAGAUGCUAAUACCGAAUAAAACUUAGUAUCGCAUGAUACCAGGUUAAAAGGCGCUACGGCGUCACCUAGAGAUGGAUCCGCGGUGCAUUAGUUAGUUGGUGGGGUAAAGGCUUACCAAGACAAUGAUGCAUAGCCGAGUUGAGAGACUGAUCGGCCACAUUGGGACUGAGACACGGCCCAAACUCCUACGGGAGGCUGCAGUAGGGAAUCUUCCACAAUGGGCGAAAGCCUGAUGGAGCAACGCCGCGUGUGUGAUGAAGGCUUUCGGGUCGUAAAGCACUGUUGUAUGGGAAGAACAGCUAGAGUAGGGAAUGACUUUAGUUUGACGGUACCAUACCAGAAAGGGACGGCUAAAUACGUGCCAGCAGCCGCGGUAAUACGUAUGUCCCGAGCGUUAUCCGGAUUUAUUGGGCGUAAAGCGAGCGCAGACGGUUAAUUAAGUCUGAUGUGAAAGCCCGGAGCUCAACUCCGGAAAGGCAUUGGAAACUGGUUAACUUGAGUGCAGUAGAGGUAAGUGGAACUCCAUGUGUAGCGGUGGAAUGCGUAGAUAUAUGGAAGAACACCAGCGGCGAAGGCGGCUUANCUGGACUGUAACUGACGUGAGGCUCGAAA